rnacentral:rRNA from 1 species
UGGGGAAUAUUGGACAAUGGGCGCAAGCCUGAUCCAGCCAUGCCGCGUGAGUGAUGAAGGCCUAGGGUUGUAAAGCUCUUUCGCCGGUGAAGAUAAUGACGGUAACCGGUAAAGAAGCCCCGGCUAACUUCGUGCCAGCAGCCGCGGUAAUACGAAGGGGGCUAGCGUUGUUCGGAAUUACUGGGCGUAAAGCGCGCGUAGGCGGGUCAUUAAGUCAGGGGUGAAUUCCCGGGGGUCAACCACGGAAUUGGCUCAGAUACUGGUGAGCUCGAGUGCGAGAGAGGUGAGUGGAACUCCGAGUGUAGAGGUGAAAUUCGUAGAUAUUCGGAAGAACACCAGUGGCGAAGGCGGCUCACUGGCUCGGUACUGACGCUGAGGUGCGAAAGCGUGGGGAGCAAACAGGAUUAGAUACCCGCGUAGUCC